UGCUGUUUUCCAGUUAAAGUUUUCAAGAGUUAUCUGCUUUCUGGAUCUGAAUGGGAUUCUUCUGCAUCAGAACAGUUGGUAACUUAUUCUUGGGAGAUGAAGAAAGUCAUGUUGCAGUUCCUUUGAGAAGUUUAAGGACUUCAGCAGUUGCAGACACUCCUUUCUAUUUAAAUGCAUGUCACCGGUUAAUCUAAAUAUCUGGUGAGCUGUACUGUUUGCAAAGAGUAAAGAGGUUCUGUGUCUGGUUGAUUAUGAUGGCACACACUGUGGGAAAAGCUGAGUGUAGCUGACUCCAGCGGCGCGUUAACCCAGGAUGCAACAGCUGACUUCAUCUUGUGUUACAUAGGCAACUCAGGACAACAGGUCAUUUCAGAAAGUUGUCUGUCACUGUGCUAACUUGAAGAGGUGACCAUUUGCUGUGAGUUAAUGAUAAAAGUAUACACUGUUUCUUAGACAUCCCUGUGUUAUGGAGCUGUGCUGGAUUUUGAAGGUCAGUGUUGCUGGACUGUGUAGAUAUCAAAACAUUACUGCUAUUUAAGAGUCAUGUCUUUUCCUGCUGUAACUACUGUUUGGCUCAUGUAAUGAUCCACAGUUCAGAUAUACAAUUUAGGAAAGAUCAGCAA